rnacentral:rRNA from 1 species
GAUCCUGGCUCAGGAUUAACGCUGGCGGUAUGCCUAACACAUGCAAGUCGAACGGACCCUUCGGGGUUAGUGGCGGACGGGUGAGUAACACGUGAGAACCUACCUUUAGGACGGGGACAACAGUUGGAAACGACUGCUAAUACCCGAUGUGCCGGAAGGUGAAAGGAUUUAUUGCCUGAAGAUGGGCUCGCGUCUGAUUAGCUAGUUGGUAGUGUAAGGGACUACCAAGGCAACGAUCAGUAGCUGGUCUGAGAGGAUGAGCAGCCACACUGGGACUGAGACACGGCCCAGACUCCUACGGGAGGCAGCAGUGGGGAAUUUUCCGCAAUGGGCGAAAGCCUGACGGAGCAAUACCGCGUGGGGGAGGAAGGUCUUUGGAUUGUAAACCUCUUUUAUUAGGGAAGAAGUUCUGACGGUACCUAAUGAAUAAGCAUCGGCUAACUCCGUGCCAGCAGCCGCGGUAAUACGGAGGAUGCGAGCGUUAUCCGGAAUUAUUGGGCGUAAAGAGUCCGUAGGUGGUUUAGCAAGUCUGCCGUUAAAGAAUGGAGCUUAACUCCAUGGAGGCGGUGGAAACUGCGAGACUAGAGUACAGUAGGGGUAGCAGGAAUUCCCAGUGUAGCGGUGAAAUGCGUAGAUAUUGGGAAGAACAUCGGUGGCGAAAGCGUGCUACUGGGCUUGUACUGACACUGAGGGACGAAAGCUAGGGUAGCGAAAGGGAUUAGAUACCCCUGUAGUCCUAGCCGUAAACGAUGGAUACUAGGCGUGGCUUGUAUCGACCCGAGCCGUGCCGAAGCUAACGCGUUAAGUAUCCCGCCUGGGGAGUACGCUCGCAAGAGUGAAACUCAAAGGAAUUGACGGGGGCCCGCACAAGCGGUGGAGUAUGUGGUUUAAUUCGAUGCAACGCGAAGAACCUUACCAAGGCUUGACAUCCCUGGAACCUCGGUGAAAGCUGAGGGUGCCUUAGGGAACCAGGAGACAGGUGGUGCAUGGCUGUCGUCAGCUCGUGUCGUGAGAUGUUGGGUUAAGUCCCGCAACGAGCGCAACCCACGUUUUUAGUUGCCAGCAUUAAGUUGGGCACUCUAGAGAGACUGCCGGUGACAAACCGGAGGAAGGUGUGGAUGACGUCAAGUCAUCAUGCCCCUUACGCCUUGGGCUACACACGUACUACAAUGGUCGGGACAACGGGCAGCCAAUCCGCGAGGACGAGCGAAUCCCAGCAAACCCGGCCUCAGUUCAGAUUGCAGGCUGCAACUCGCCUGCAUGAAGGAGGAAUCGCUAGUAAUCGCAGGUCAGAAUACUGCGGUGAAUUCGUUCCCGGGCCUUGUACACACCGCCCGUCACACCAUGGGAGCUGGUCACGCCCGAAGUCGUUACUCUAACCUUUCGAGGGGGAGGGCGCCGAAGGCAGGGCUAGUGACUGGGGUGAAGUCGUAACAGGGUACCCGUACCGGAAGGUGUGGCUGGAUCACCUCCUUAAAGGGAGACCUGUACCCCUUCAACUUGAAAGCAAAGUGCAAAUAGAGAAGAAGUUGGUCACCUAAAAGGUCGAGCAAGGAAACGGAUAGAAGUCUCUCAAACUAUUGACUAGGGAAGGGAGUUCAGAUAUCAGAGGACAGAUAUCAGACAUCAGUGAUCGAAAGAGAAGCUGAUAAAUGAAAACUGAAAUCUGGUGACUGAAGUCUGAAAAGGGCUAUUAGCUCAGCUGGUUAGAGCGCACCCCUGAUAAGGGUGAGGUCUCUGGUUCAAGUCCAGAAUGGCCCACCUAACCAAAGAAAUCAAAGGGAAACCUUUCAGCAUCCUAUCUGGUGAGAGUCAGAGGGAAUGCUGGAUGAUUAUCCAGUAAGAACCUUGAAAACUGCAUAAAGAAAAGAGAAAGCAGGGAAAACUUUGCGGACAGUGUAAAAGCUGUAAGUAGAGUAAUCCUAGUUAGCAAGAAAAAGAUCUUAAUUUUAAGUAAGAAAGGUCAAGCUACAAAGGGCUAACGGUGGAUACCUUGGCACACAGAGGCGAAGAAGGACGUGGUUACCGACGAAACGCUCCGGGGAGCUGGAAACAAGCAGAGAUCCGGAGGUGUCCGAAUGGGGCAACCCAGAAUACUGCCCGUUGAAUAAAAUAGACGGGAAAGAGCGAACCUGGUGAACUGAAACAUCUUAGUAGCCAGAGGAAGAGAAAACAAAAGUGAUUCCCCAAGUAGCGGCGAGCGAACGGGGAGAAGCCUAAACCAGUUUCUUAGGAGAUUGGGGUAGUGGGACAGCAACGUGGACUGAUUAGAUUAGACGAAGCAGCUGAAAACUGCACCAGAGGAGGUGAAAGUCCUGUAGUCGAAAAUCGAAGCAGCCUAGCUGAAUCCCGAGUAGGUCGGAGCUCGUGGAAUUCCGAUUGAAUCAGCCGGGACCACCCGGUAAGGCUAAAUACUCCUGUGUGACCGAUAGCGAAAAGUACCGCGAGGGAAAGGUGAAAAGAACCCCGUUGAGGGGAGUGAAAUAGAACAUGAAACCGUUAGCCUACAAGCAA